AAAAAUGAGAGAGUGUGGCUUGUGAAUGUUGUAACUAAAUGGCAUUCAUGUUCUUAGAAGAUGAGAAAUUUGGGAUCUGCUUCAUAUCAGCAAAUUAAGCAGCAAAGAAGAUGGAAGAGCCUCUAGUGGACCUCUUGCUAUAGCUUCUGCUCAAGGAACGAUCAGUAACCAGCAAAUCCUGUCCAACUCCAGCUACGAGGGGGAAAGUUUAGAAGUCUCAUGCGGGCAGUUGGCACGUUGGAACGCCUCGAUCAGGAAAGUGAGCAGACUGGGGACAUUUGUUUCUUUCCUUUUAGCUGGACUGUAGGCCUGUGAUGAACUACAAAGCUCAUGUAUUCUCUUUUCUGGGGCCCAGAUCGGACUGGUGGAUGACUAAAUAAAGAAAACGAUCUUGAAAUACUCAGGGAGUGGGGUGUGGCAUCAUGAUGUGUUCUCAUUUCUUCACCCCAGGAGUGCAGGAGGCUGGCUGCCUCUCAGAACACUAGUGUGUGUCUGUUUGGCAGUCUUCCCUACGCUCUUGUCUAAAUCAUUGCCAAACUGUUUUCUAUUUGUUAAAAAGAAGUAAAUGUUAGUUAAUGAUUUGUAGUUUUGAACCCAAGAAGAAAGAUGGUGAAUCUAGAGAUAAGCUUCUUACUUUUUAUAUUUCAGAG
rnacentral:lncRNA from 1 species